AUUGAACGCUAGCGGGAUGCCUUACACAUGCAAGUCGAACGGAGUGGCGACCGGGUUAGUAAUGUCUCGGAACGUGCCCAGUAGCGGUGUAUAACUCCGCGAAAGCGUAGCUCAUACCUCAUACUAUUUGAACGGCCGAUAUCGGAGUAGCUAGUUGUUGGGGUAACGGCUCACCAAGGAGACGAUCAGUAGCUGUGUUGAGAGGACGACCAGCCAAACUGGGACUGUGACACGGCCCAGAUUCCUACGGGAGGCAGCAGUGGGGAAUUUUGGACAAGGGGGGAAACCCUGACCCAGCAAUACCGCGUGGGCGAUGAAGGCCUUCGGGUUGGAAAGCACUUUUGGCAGGAAAGCGGUACCUGCAGAAUAAGCACCGGCUAACUACGUGCCAGCCGCCGCGGUAAUAC
rnacentral:rRNA from 1 species